rnacentral:rRNA from 1 species
GACAGAGGGUGCAAACGUUGUUCGGAAUUACUGGGCGUAAAGCGCGUGUAGGCGGCAGGGCAUGUCGGAUGUGAAAUCCCGUGGCUCAACCACGGAAGUGCACCCGAAACUGCCCAGCUUGAGUCUCGGAGAGGAAGGCGGAAUGCUUGGUGUAGAGGUGAAAUUCGUAGAUAUCAAGCGGAACACCGGUGGCGAAGGCGGCCUUCUGGACAGUGACUGACGCUGAGACGCGAAAGCGUGGGGAGCAAACAGG